GAAAGGUAGCUGAACAUGAAAACAAGCAGUAAACAGUGUUCCCCCAUGGAUGCUGCUUCAGCUCCUGCUCUG